CCUACGGGUGGCUGCAGUGAGGAAUAUUCGGCAAUGGGCGCGAGCCUGAACCAGCAAAGUAGCGUGAAGGAUGACUGCCCUACGGGUUGUAAACUUCUUUUAUAAAGGAAUAAAGUGAGGCACGUGUGCCUUUUUGUAUGUACUUUAUGAAUACGGAUCGGCUAACGCCGCGCCAGCAGCCGCGGUAAGACGGAGGAUCCGAGCGUUAUCCGGAUUGGUUGGGUUUAAAGGGAGCGUAGAUGGGUUGUUAAGUCAGUUGUGAAAGUUUGCGGCUCAACCGUAAAAUUGCAAUGGAUACUGGCAGCCUUGAGUACAGUUGAGGAAGGGGGAAUUCGUGGUGUAGCGGUGAAAUGCUUAGAUAUAACGAAGAACUCCGAUUGCGAAGGCAGCCCACUAAUCUGCCACUGACAUUGAUGCUCGAAAGUGUGGGUAUCAAACAGGAUUAGAUACCCGAGUAGUC
rnacentral:rRNA from 1 species